rnacentral:tRNA from 1 species
GAGGGAGGUGAUCCACAAUAAGAACUGCUAAUUCCUACAUCUGAGAUUAACCCCUCAGCUCCCNU